UGGGGAAUUUUGGACAAUGGGGGAAACCCUGAUCCAGCCAUCCCGCGUGUGCGAUGAAGGCCUUCGGGUUGUAAAGCACUUUUGGCAGGAAAGAAACGUCAUGGGUUAAUACCCCGUGAAACUGACGGUACCUGCAGAAUAAGCACCGGCUAACUACGUGCCAGCAGCCGCGGUAAUACGUAGGGUGCAAGCGUUAAUCGGAAUUACUGGGCGUAAAGCGUGCGCAGGCGGUUCGGAAAGAAAGAUGUGAAAUCCCAGAGCUCAACUUCGGAACUGCAUUUUUAACUACCGGGCUAGAGUGUGUCAGAGGGAGGUGGAAUUCCGCGUGUAGCAGUGAAAUGCGUAGAUAUGCGGAGGAACACCGAUGGCGAAGGCAGCCUCCUGGGAUAACACUGACGCUCAUGCACGAAAGCGUGGGGAGCAAACAGG
rnacentral:rRNA from 1 species